GUCCUGCGGUGGGGUGCCGGAACGAGCUCUGUGUGUCAGUUCUCAUCAUUCACGCACUUCUCCAGGUAAGGGAGCAGCGGUGGGAACGGGUAAGGUCAGCAGCGCAACAGGGAGAAGUCCCGCUCUGGCAGCCGUCAGUAAUGGCCGGGCCCCGACGAUCCCUGGCCCAGCGGCGCCGGGGCUGCGGCUGCACCGAGGGAGGUUUUGGUAGCGGCGG